rnacentral:rRNA from 1 species
UACGGAGGGAGCUAGCGUUAUUCGGAAUUACUGGGCGUAAAGCGCACGUAGGCGGCUUUGUAAGUUAGAGGUGAAAGCCUGGAGCUCAACUCCAGAACUGCCUUUAAGACUGCAUCGCUUGAAUCCAGGAGAGGUGAGUGGAAUUCCGAGUGUAGAGGUGAAAUUCGUAGAUAUUGGGAAGAACACCGGUGGCGAAGGCGGCUCACUGGCUCGUAACUGACGCUCAUGCACGACAGCGUGGGGAUCAAACAGG